UGAUUGCAAUUAGUGUACCGUUUCUUUUUUGGCCCUGAUUAAUCACAGGACAAAUGGAUCAACAUACAGCCCGGGAGAAAGCAGCACAGCAUCACCCGUUCCCGGGAACCGGUUAUUCGGAUUCAGAUGCUUCUAAGGUUCGAGCAAGUCAUGAUUACAGCAGCAAUUCUUCAGACAUCUAGCAUGCCUACAGAAUUUUUGAUUCAGAGAAUGCAGUUAGUCAACAGAAAUGCUCGCAUGGUUCAACAGAUUGAAAUGUUCAGAGCAAACCGAACCCAGAAAAUGAUUUUAGAAUGGCCAUGUUUUGGCCGUUCGUCCACCGCAAACAAGCAGCCAAAGUAGAAUUACCUGCAGCUCGAGAGACGGCGACAGCAUCGUGCAGCGGCUUGUGGAUCGUCACGGGAGCUAGCAGAGAGCUUGAGGGAGACUUGCCACAUACCAACAAUUGGCCCAUGCUCCUACUGUCCCACCAUUACUAUCAUUCAUUUAUCUUUUUGUUGUUCCUAUUUCACCCUUCACAUGCUAAUGUUCUCCAUUUCAGAAUCCUGGGCUGAAGAACAGCCGCUGAAGUAUAUAUACUUUGACGGACGGACGUCGCAUUCAUCUCUGGGACCCAAAUCUCAAUUGGUGUUGAUGGAUCCUUACUGAUCACGACAUAAGAUGGUCCCUCUCCGGUAUCAAUUUCUAGGAAGGCAAGGUGAUAUGUCAGUCUCCCCUGUACGAGUGGUGUCUGUGUAUCCCUGGAAAAAAGAGAAUCAAAUCUGGUCAUCCUCUGUCCAUUCAUUCCAAGCACUAAUUUGGCUAUGAACAUCGCAAGCUUUCCUUCAUAACCGAGGCUUAACUUUUUUUCCCCUCAAACAAGAUAAAUGCCUGGAAGGUAACCCUUGAUGCCCUGGUCAGUCUUGGCUGUGCAAAAAUCAUUGGUGCUUUUACUUUGACUAUUUAUAAUUUUUAUACAGUUAGUUCAUAGUUAAUGGAAGUUAUAUGAUUGUAAUUAUGACAAAUAUGCAUGACUAAU